rnacentral:rRNA from 1 species
AUUGAACGCUAGCGGGAUGCCUUACACAUGCAAGUCGAACGGAGUGGCGAACUGAUGAGUAAUGUAUCGGAACGUGCCCAGUAGCGGGGGAUAACUACGCGAAAGCGUAGCUAAUACCGCAUACUAAUGGAGCGGCCGCUAUCGGAUUAGCUAGUUGGUGGGGUAAGGGCUCACCAGGGCGACGAACCGUAGCUGGUUUGAGAGGACGACCAGCCACACGGGGAGUGAGAAACGGCCCAGACUCCUACGGGGGGCAGCAGUGGGGAAUUUUGGAAAAUGGGGGAAACCCUGAUCCAGACAUCCCGCGUGUGCGAUGAGGGCCUUCGGGUGGUAAAGCACGUUUGGAAGGAAAGAGGUACCUGCAGAAUAAGCACCGGCUAACGACGUGCCAGCAGCCGCGGUAAUUC